GGCAUGGUGGUUUAGUGGUAAGUACACUCGCCUCACACCUUCUGGGUCGGGGGUUCGAUUCCCGCCACUGCCC